AAAGAAAAUUCGAUUCCCUUAGUAGCGGCGAGCGAAACGGGAAGAGCCCAAACCAACAAGCUUGCUUGUUGGGGUUGUAGGACACUCUAUACGGAGUUACAAAGGACGACAUUAGACGAAUCAUCUGGAAAGAUGAAUCAAAGAAGGUAAUAAUCCUGUAGUCGAAAAUGUUGUCUCUCUUGAGUGGAUCCUGAGUACGACGGAACACGUGAAAUUCCGUCGGAAUCUGGGAGGACCAUCUCCUAAGGCUAAAUACUCUCUAGUGACCGAUAGUGAACCAGUACCGUGAGGGAAAGGUGAAAAGCACCCCGGAAGGGGAGUGAAAUAGAACCUGAAACCGUGUGCUUACAAGUAGUCAGAGCCCGUUAAUGGGUGAUGGCGUGCCUUUUGUAGAAUGAACCGGCGAGUUACGAUUUGAUGCAAGGUUAAGCAGUAAAUGUGGAGCCGUAGCGAAAGCGAGUCUGAAUAGGGCGUUUAGUAUUUGGUCGUAGACCCGAAACCAGGUGAUCUACCCUUGGUCAGGUUGAAGUUCAGGUAACACUGAAUGGAGGACCGAACCGACUUACGUUGAAAAGUGAGCGGAUGAACUGAGGGUAGCGGAGAAAUUCCAAUCGAACCUGGAGAUAGCUGGUUCUCUCCGAAAUAGCUUUAGGGCUAGCCUCAAGUGAUGAUUAUUGGAGGUAGAGCACUGUUUGGACGAGGGGCCCCUCUCGGGUUACCGAAUUCAGACAAACUCCGAAUGCCAAUUAAUUUAACUUGGGAGUCAGAACAUGGGUGAUAAGGUCCGUGUUCGAAAGGGAAACAGCCCAGACCACCAGCUAAGGUCCCAAAAUAUAUGUUAAGUGGAAAAGGAUGUGGCGUUGCCCAGACAACUAGGAUGUUGGCUUAGAAGCAGCCAUCAUUUAAAGAGUGCGUAAUAGCUCACUAGUCGAGUGACACUGCGCCGAAAAUGUACCGGGGCUAAACAUAUUACCGAAGCUGUGGAUUGUCCUUUGGACAAUGGUAGGAGAGCGUUCUAAGGGCGUUGAAGCAUGAUCGUAAGGACAUGUGGAGCGCUUAGAAGUGAGAAUGCCGGUGUGAGUAGCGAAAGACGGGUGAGAAUCCCGUCCACCGAUUGACUAAGGUUUCCAGAGGAAGGCUCGUCCGCUCUGGGUUAGUCGGGUCCUAAGCUGAGGCCGACAGGCGUAGGCGAUGGAUAACAGGUUGAUAUUCCUGUACCACCUAUAAUCGUUUUAAUCGAUGGGGGGACGCAGUAGGAUAGGCGAAGCGUGCGAUUGGAUUGCACGUCUAAGCAGUAAGGCUGAGUAUUAGGCAAAUCCGGUACUCGUUAAGGCUGAGCUGUGAUGGGGAGAAGACAUUGAGUCUUCGAGUCGUUGAUUUCACACUGCCGAGAAAAGCCUCUAGAUAGAAAAUAGGUGCCCGUACCGCAAACCGACACAGGUAGUCAAGAUGAGAAUUCUAAGGUGAGCGAGCGAACUCUCGUUAAGGAACUCGGCAAAAUGACCCCGUAACUUCGGGAGAAGGGGUGCUCUUUAGGGUUAACGCCCAGAAGAGCCGCAGUGAAUAGGCCCAAGCGACUGUUUAUCAAAAACACAGGUCUCUGCUAAACCGUAAGGUGAUGUAUAGGGGCUGACGCCUGCCCGGUGCUGGAAGGUUAAGAGGAGUGGUUAGCUUCUGCGAAGCUACGAAUCGAAGCCCCAGUAAACGGCGGCCGUAACUAUAACGGUCCUAAGGUAGCGAAAUUCCUUGUCGGGUAAGUUCCGACCCGCACGAAAGGCGUAACGAUUUGGGCACUGUCUCAACGAGAGACUCGGUGAAAUCAUAGUACCUGUGAAGAUGCAGGUUACCCGCGACAGGACGGAAAGACCCCGUGGAGCUUUACUGUAGCCUGAUAUUGAAAUUCGGCACAGCUUGUACAGGAUAGGUAGGAGCCUUUGAAACGUGAGCGCUAGCUUACGUGGAGGCGCUGGUGGGAUACUACCCUAGCUGUGUUGGCUUUCUAACCCGCACCACUUAUCGUGGUGGGAGACAGUGUCAGGCGGGCAGUUUGACUGGGGCGGUCGCCUCCUAAAAGGUAACGGAGGCGCUCAAAGGUUCCCUCAGAAUGGUUGGAAAUCAUUCAUAGAGUGUAAAGGCAUAAGGGAGCUUGACUGCGAGACCUACAAGUCGAGCAGGGUCGAAAGACGGACUUAGUGAUCCGGUGGUUCCGCAUGGAAGGGCCAUCGCUCAACGGAUAAAAGCUACCCCGGGGAUAACAGGCUUAUCUCCCCCAAGAGUUCACAUCGACGGGGAGGUUUGGCACCUCGAUGUCGGCUCAUCGCAUCCUGGGGCUGUAGUCGGUCCCAAGGGUUGGGCUGUUCGCCCAUUAAAGCGGUACGCGAGCUGGGUUCAGAACGUCGUGAGACAGUUCGGUCCCUAUCCGUCGUGGGCGUAGGAAAUUUGAGAGGAGCUGUCCUUAGUACGAGAGGACCGGGAUGGACAUACCUCUGGUGUACCAGUUGUCGUGCCAACGGCAUAGCUGGGUAGCUAUGUGUGGACGGGAUAAGUGCUGAAAGCAUCUAAGCAUGAAGCCCCCCUCAAGAUGAGAUUUCCCAACUUCGGUUAUAAGAUCCCUCAAAGAUGAUGAGGUUAAUAGGUUCGAGGUGGAAGCAUGGUGACAUGUGGAGCUGACGAAUACUAAUCGAUCGAAGACUUAAUCAA
rnacentral:rRNA from 1 species